rnacentral:rRNA from 1 species
ACACACACGGCUACAAUGGUCUGUACAAUGGGUAGCCAAGGCCGCGAGGCGAGCCAAUCCUGAAAGCAGGCCUCAGUUCAGAUUGCAGUCUGCAACUCGACUGCAUGAAGCCGGAGUUGCUAGUAACCGCAGGUCAGCAAUACUGCGGUGAAUACGUUCCCGGAGUCUU